GAUGAAGAACGUAGCAAAAUGCGAUAAGUAAUGUGAAUUGCAGAAUUCAGUGAAUCAUCGAAUCUUUGAACGCACAUUGCGCCCGCUGGUAUUCCGGCGGGCAUGUCUGUUCGAGCGUCAUUUCAACCCUCAAGCCCCCGGGUUUGGUGUUGGGGAUCGGCUCUGCCUUCUGGCGGUGCCGCCCCCGAAAUACAUUGGCGGUCUCGCUGCAGCCUCCAUUGCGUAGUAGCUAACACCUCGCAACUGGAACGCGGCGCGGCCAUGCCGUAAAACCCCAACUUCUGAAUGUUGACCUCGGAUCAGGUAGGAAUACCCGCUGAACUUAAGCAUAUCAAUAAGCGGAGGA
rnacentral:misc_RNA from 1 species